rnacentral:tRNA from 1 species
GAUUUGCUAGCUCAGCCGGUAGAGCACAUCCCUUUUAAGGAUGGGGCCCUGGGUUCGAAUCCCAGGCAAAUCA